GGGUUGUGAGGUUAAGCGACUAAGCGUACACGGUGGAUGCCCUGGCAGUCAGAGGCGAUGAAGGACGUGCUAAUCUGCGAUAAGCGUCGGUAAGGUGAUAUGAACCGUUAUAACCGGCGAUUUCCGAAUGGGGAAACCCAGUGUGUUUCGACACACUAUCAUUACGUGAAUACAUAGCGUAAUGAAGCGAACCGGGGGAACUGAAACAUCUAAGUACCCCGAGGAAAAGAAAUCAACCGAGAUUCCCCCAGUAGCGGCGAGCGAACGGGGAGCAGCCCAGAGUCUGAAUCAGCAUGUGUGUUAGUGGAAGCGUCUGGAAAGUCGCACGAUACAGGGUGAAAGUCCCGUACACAAAAGUGCAUGUGUUGUGAACUCGAAGAGUAGGGCGGGACACGUGGUAUCCUGUCUGAAUAUGGGGGGACCAUCCUCCAAGGCUAAAUACUCCUGACUGACCGAUAGUGAACCAGUACCGUGAGGGAAAGGCGAAAAGAACCCCGGCGAGGGGAGUGAAAAAGAACCUGAAACCGUGUACGUACAAGCAGUGGGAGCACCCUUUGGGGUGUGACUGCGUACCUUUUGUAUAAUGGGUCAGCGACUUAUAUUCUGUAGCAAGGUUAACCGAAUAGGGGAGCCGAAGGGAAACCGAGUCUUAACUGGGCGUUAAGUUGCAGGGUAUAGACCCGAAACCCGGUGAUCUAGCCAUGGGCAGGUUGAAGGUUGGGUAACACUAACUGGAGGACCGAACCGACUAAUGUUGAAAAAUUAGCGGAUGACUUGUGGCUGGGGGUGAAAGGCCAAUCAAACCGGGAGAUAGCUGGUUCUCCCCGAAAGCUAUUUAGGUAGCGCCUCGUGAAUUCAUCUUCGGGGGUAGAGCACUGUUUCGGCUAGGGGGUCAUCCCGACUUACCAACCCGAUGCAAACUGCGAAUACCGAAGAAUGUUAUCACGGGAGACACACGGCGGGUGCUAACGUCCGUCGUGAAGAGGGAAACAACCCAGACCGCCAGCUAAGGUCCCAAAGUCAUGGUUAAGUGGGAAACGAUGUGGGAAGGCACAGACAGCCAGGAUGUUGGCUUAGAAGCAGCCAUCAUUUAAAGAAAGCGUAAUAGCUCACUGGUCGAGUCGGCCUGCGCGGAAGAUGUAACGGGGCUAAACCAUGCACCGAAGCUGCGGCAGCGACACUAUGUGUUGUUGGGUAGGGGAGCGUUCUGUAAGCCGUUGAAGGUGUGUCGUGAGGCAUGCUGGAGGUAUCAGAAGUGCGAAUGCUGACAUAAGUAACGAUAAUGCGGGUGAAAAACCCGCACGCCGGAAGACCAAGGGUUCCUGUCCAACGUUAAUCGGGGCAGGGUGAGUCGACCCCUAAGGCGAGGCCGAAAGGCGUAGUCGAUGGGAAACAGGUUAAUAUUCCUGUACUUGGUGUUACUGCGAAGGGGGGACGGAGAAGGCUAUGUUAGCCGGGCGACGGUUGUCCCGGUUUAAGCAUGUAGGCGGAGGUUCCAGGUAAAUCCGGUACCUUUUAACGCUGAGGUGUGAUGACGAGGCACUACGGUGCUGAAGUAACAAAUGCCCUGCUUCCAGGAAAAGCCUCUAAGCAUCAGGUAACACGAAAUCGUACCCCAAACCGACACAGGUGGUCAGGUAGAGAAUACCAAGGCGCUUGAGAGAACUCGGGUGAAGGAACUAGGCAAAAUGGUGCCGUAACUUCGGGAGAAGGCACGCUGAUAUGUAGGUGAAGUG
rnacentral:rRNA from 1 species